CCUACGGGGGGCAGCAGUGGGGGAUAUUGCACAAUGGGGGAAACCCUGAUGCAGCGACGCCGCGUGUGGGAAGACGGUCCUCUGGAUUGUAAGCCACUGUCCCCAGGGACGAAGAUGACGGUACCUGGGGCGGAAGCUCCGGCUAACUACGUGCCAGCAGCCGCGGUAAUACGUAGGGAGCGAGCGUUGUCCGGAAUUACUGGGUGUAAAGGGAGCGUAGGCGGGACUGCAAGUUGGGUGUCAAAGCUACCGGCUCAACCGGUAGCCGCACUCAAAACUGCAGUUCUUGAGUGAAGUAGAGGCAGGCGGAAUUCCUAGUGUAGCGGUGAAAUGCGUAGAUAUUAGGAGGAACACCAGUGGCGAAGGCGGCCUGCUGGGCUUUGACUGACGCUGAGGCUCGAAAGUGUGGGGAGCAAACAGGAUUAGAUACCCUAGUAGUC
rnacentral:rRNA from 1 species